UACGUAGGGGCGAGCGUUGUCCGGAUUCAUUGGGCGUAAAGGGCGCGUAGGCGGCCUUCUAAGUCAGACGUGAAAUCCCCCGGCUUAACCUGGGAACUGCGUCUGAUACUGGGAGGCUUGAGUAUGGGAGAGGGAUGUAGAAUUCCAGGUGUAGCGGUGAAAUGCGUAGAUAUCUGGAGGAAUACCGGUGGCGAAGGCGGCAUCCUGGACCAUUACGUGACGCUGAGGCGCGAAAGCUAGGGGAGCAAACGGG
rnacentral:rRNA from 1 species